rnacentral:rRNA from 1 species
CCUACGGGCGGCAGCAGUGAGGAAUAUUGGUCAAUGGUCGGGAGACUGAACCAGCCAAGCCGCGUGAGGGAUGAAGGUACAGAGUAUCGUAAACUUCUUUUGUCAGGGAAUAAAGGGGGGGACGUGUCCCCGGAUGAGUGUACCUGAAGAAAAAGCAUCGGCUAACUCCGUGCCAGCAGCCGCGGUAAUACGGAGGAUGCGAGCGUUAUCCGGAUUUAUUGGGUUUAAAGGGAGCGCAGGCGGUCUUUUAAGUCAGACGUUAAAGGCUGGGGCUCAACCGCGGCCCUGCCGUUGAAACUGGCAGUCUCGAGUAGAGUAGAAGUAUGCGGAAUGCGCGGUGUAGCGGUGAAAUGCAUAGAUAUCGCGCAGAACUCCGAUUGCGAAGGCAGCAUGCCGGCUCCACACUGACGCUGAGGCACGAAAGCGUGGGUAUCGAACAGGAUUAGAUACCCUUGUAGUC